rnacentral:rRNA from 1 species
AAACCAACAGGGAUUGCCUUAGUAACGGCGAGUGAAGCGGCAAGAGCUCAAAUUUGAAAUCUAGCACCUUCGGUGUUCGAGUUGUAAUUUGAAGAAGGUAUCUUAUGAGUUGGCCCUUGUCUAUGUUCCUUGGAACAGGACGUCACAGAGGGUGAGAAUCCCGUGCGAUGGGGUGUCCAAUUCUAUGUUAAGUUCCUUCGAAGAGUCGAGUUGUUUGGGAAUGCAGCUCUAAGUGGGUGGUAAAUUCCAUCUAAAGCUAAAUAUUGGCGAGAGACCGAUAGCGAACAAGUACAGUGAUGGAAAGAUGAAAAGAACUUUGAAAAGAGAGUGAAAAAGUACGUGAAAUUGUUGAAAGGGAAGGGCUUUUGAUCAGACUUGGUAUUUAGUACUCUUCGCUCCUUGUGGGCGGGGCUCUUGCUGUUUACUGGGCUAGCAUCGGUUUGGGUGGCAGGAUAAUGACAUUGGAAUGUGGCUUCAUUCGUGGAGUGUUAUAGCCCUUGUUGAUACUGCCUGCCUAGACCGAGGACUGCGUCUUUUGACUAGGAUGCUGGCGUAAUGAUUUCUGGCCCGCACGCGCGCUACACUGACCAAGGAGUCUAACGUCUAUGCGAGUGUUUGGGUGUAAAACCCGUACGCGUAAUGAAAGUGAACGUAGAUGAGGGCCCUCACGGGUGCAUCAUCGACCGAUCCUGAAGUUUUCAGAUGGAUUUGAGUAAGAGCAUAGCUGUUGGGACCCGAAAGAUGGUGAACUAUGCCUGAAUAGGGUGAAGCCAGAGGAAACUCUGGUGGAGGCUCGUAGCGGUUCUGACGUGCAAAUCGAUCAUUAAAUUUGUGAUACGGAAGGCAAA